AAAUCCAUAAUUAAUUUAGUAAUUCAAAUAAACAAGUCCGACAUGUCCAAAUAAACAAAUUAAUUCAAUUACAAGAUCUUCAAAUGUUCAUCGACAUCAAAGAAGGAUAAACAAACUAACUAGCUAAUGACUCUGAUACUUGCACUCUGCGCCCAUCCCAUCCAAAUCUAAGCAUCCUGCAACUCUGAUAAAAAGAAAGAAGAAAAGGGGAUGAGCUUCACAGCUCAGUAAGAAUCCCUACACAUCCACACCAACACAAUAAUAAUAUAAAUCUGAAAACUACGACAAGUUGAAGCACAUAUCAUGAAUCAUAAACCGGCUAUCAAAGCUCAAAUAAUAGAUUUAAGUAUGUACAUCAAACAUCAAUAAAAGUCCAGCCAUACAAGAAUGAUAUAGCAUAUGAUAGCUCAUAAACCUGUAUUAUAGUUUCAAUGCCUUUUCUUCAACUUGAUCCAGAUUAAUUAUCUUUUUGACUUUGGGUCAAAUCUCGGUCACAUUUUUCAGCCUGUGGUGGGGCAACCAAAUUAUCACAUUUUUAGCCUGUGGCAGGGCCUGCACAUUAUAGUUCCACAUUUCUAGCCUGUGAUGGGGCCUGCCAAAGUAUCACAUUUUCAGCCUGUGGCGGGGCCUGCACAUUAUAGUUCCACAUUUCUAGCCUGUGAGGGGGCCUACCAAAGUACCACAUUUUUAGCUUGUGACGGGGCCUGCCAUAAUAACAAGAUAAACCCAAAGUCCCUUUUUCAUACAAUCCAGUUCACAUCCACACAUCAAUUUCCUUUUUAUUUAUUUUCGGCUUUAAACUAACCACGGUCACGUUUCCAGACGGGGCAACCAAUAUCGCAUGGUUAGUUUAGAGCACCACAUCCAUCAGUCCAUCAUGUAGGUGUAGGAUUGCGCAUGCAUGCAUCCAUCAUGAUACCAACCACAAGCGAAUAUGAUCAUAAUAUCAACCACAAGCCAAUACGAUCAAAAUAUAAUUUAAUAUAAAAUUAUUUUUAAUUUGUCUGGAUCAUAGCAUAUCAUACAUAUCUAAGUAUAAAAAAUCAUGCAGGGUUGGCGUACAAGGAUCCUUACCCUUUAUUGAAAACUCAGACAUACUAAUUACCCGCCCUCAUGGCGAUCUAUAAACCGGAAUGCGCAGGACUCCGCUCAGCGUCCUCUGGUCCAAUAGAUUGUUUUCCUACAGAAUCAAAUCAUCAUUAAAACUUAUCCAAACUAUAUGACAAUCCAGAACUCUCAAAACAAUAAUCUCCCUAGAUCGAAGUUUAGAGAGAGAGAGCCCCAACUAGAGAGAGAAACUAGAGGGAGAAGAGAAGGGCAAAGAAAGAAGAGAGAGAACCGAGUGGAUCUCCCUCCCUCCCUCUCUCUCUCCCUUCUUCAUUCUUCCCAACGGAAAGGGGGAAGGUGCUCGGCAGCAGGCGGCCAACGGCUGGCGACGCACCAUGGUCGUCAGCCCGUGGCGGUGCCGGCGGUGUGCCAUGCCCGGCGACGGCCGGCUGAACGGAAGAAGGCACCAAGUCACUGAGAGGAGGCUUGGUUCUCCUCAAUCCGGCGGCUUACUGGUCAUAUUCCCAAAGAAGAAAUGGCCCAAAGAUGAAGGAGAAGGAGGAGAGGGUACUCACCUUGCCUCCGGCGAGCUUCUCCGGCAAGCCCGACGGCAAACCACCCAAGCUUCUCAUGGAUCCCCUUUAUUUUUUUUUUGAGGGGCUCUCGGUUGAUGCCCUAGGAAGAGGGGAAAAAGGGUCUUUUAUN
rnacentral:lncRNA from 1 species